rnacentral:rRNA from 1 species
GAUGAACGCUGGCGGCGUGCCUAAUACAUGCAAGUCGAGCGAACGGACGAGAAGCUUGCUUCUCUGAUGUUAGCGGCGGACGGGUGAGUAACACGUGGAUAACCUACCUAUAAGACUGGGAUAACUUCGGGAAACCGGAGCUAAUACCGGAUAAUAUUUUGAACCGCAUGGUUCAAAAGUGAAAGACGGUCUUGCUGUCACUUAUAGAUGGAUCCGCUCUGCAUUAGCUAGUUGGUAAGGUAACGGCUUACCAAGGCAACGAUGCAUAGCCGACCUGAGAGGGUGAUCGGCCACACUGGAACUGAGACACGGUCCAGACUCCUACGGGAGGCAGCAGUAGGGAAUCUUCCGCAAAGGGCGAAAGCCUGACGGAGCAACGCCGCGUGAGUGAUGAAGGUCUUCGGAUCGUAAAACUCUGUUAUUAGGGAAGAACAUAUGUGUAAGUAACUGUGCACAUCUUGACGGUACCUAAUCAGAAAGCCACGGCUAACUACGUG